GUAGGGGGCAAGCGUUAUCCGGAUUUACUGGGUGUAAAGGGGGCGCAGACGGCAGCGCAAGCCAGGAGUGAAAGCCCGGGGCCCAACCCCGGGACUGCUCUUGGAACUGCGCGGCUGGAGUGCAGGAGGGGCAGGCGGAAUUCCUGGUGUAGCGGUGAAAUGCGUAGAUAUCAGGAGGAACACCGGUGGCGAAGGCGGCCUGCUGGACUGCGACUGACGCUGAGGUUCGAAAGCGUGGGUAGCAAA
rnacentral:rRNA from 1 species